CUAACCAGUUUUUUCCUGACAUGCUAACCAGUUUUUUCCUGACAUGCUAGGAUACGUGACGUUGCGGCACUGUCUCCAUGGUUACAAAAGAACACAGAAGGUGUCUUACCGACGGUAACCAUGGAGACAAUGCGCUCCGUCAUGUAGCCUAGCAUGUAAGGAAAUAAACUGGUUAGCAUCUUGUCUUUUGUACGUUUUUAAUGCUGCUCCGGUCUAAAGGGAAACGCUAUUUAUGACACAGUGACAUAAAUCAUGUUGUGUGAAUUCAGGCACAGUCGGUAAUUUGAUCAACACGACGGUAGGGAACAAUUUCAGUUACUCUCCUCUCCCCCCCCCCUCACUUCCGGCGUCCGUCAUGGCGCUUCGAAUGAUUGAGUGACGUAGUUGUAAAGGGUCAAUAAGAAGAAGUUACGUAAACCUACAUUUAUGAUCUCUUCAAGUAUAGCAGGUGUUUUGGCACCAGAGGUCAACUGACAGCGAUGAGCUAACGUCUGAGGGAUGACUUCAUACAGGAAGUCUAAAUAAGCCUCGGAUGAGAGCAACAUAGAUUUCCCCCGGGGGAUUAGAACAGCAGGAUGUCUCCCUGUUCAUCCCACUGACUGCAUCCUCCUUCUGACGAGGAAGAUGACAUGAGGACGGAUUGGAAGAGUUGGACCAUAGUAGCUGAAUGCCAGGAUACAUUAAAGAAAACACAAUAAAUAACCCAAAACAACCUGCAGGGAAAUGGCUCCCAAUGAACAACUGACAGCAGUUAACAGUCGUAAAAUGAAACACAGCCAAAAUUCACGACAUUAAUUAUGAUAAAAGUUAAGGAUAUAUAUACAAAGUUACACAAAAACCUUUACAUGUUUAUAAAAUGUAUGUUAAAAUAUAAUACACAGUCACAAACUGUCAAUUACUGGUUGCUAUGGUAACCACCAACCGUCAACAGCCACCGAUGUCAGCAGAAAAUGAGCCAAAUUAAUUUGAAUGACAAAUAAAUCAAUGUUGACAAACAUUCACAAUUACAACAUGGUUAAAACAAAAUCCUGAGAUUCGGCAGUUAAUGUUUUUCUAUUUAUAACAGAUGAUCCUGUAGAGACGGUGAAAGCGCUCACAAAGUGCUUGAAAUUCAACAUUUCAGAGCUGACCGAUCCCUGAAGGUGGGUUAGUAUUAGUGUUGUGUUGUUUGGUGGAGAGAAGCUGCUUUUCCUUGGGGUUCAGCUUGGAUUAGGAGGAAGAAGGCGGUGGAGGACGGUAAGGCUUGGCAUGCCGUUCUGCCUCCCAGAUAGAAAAGAAAAACUCUUUGGUCUCAUCUUCACACAUGCAUCACUUUGUGGGAAAAAUGGAGUCUCCUCCAAGGCAUGCAGUUGUUUAAAUGCAACCCAGGGAGGCGAUAAAUAAGGAUUCUGUUCAGGCUCUUUGAAAUCAAACUGAUAUGUUGGUUGCAUUGCAUGAAUCCACCAAAGACAGUUAGCUAAAAUAUCAGCCGCGCAAACGCGAAUCCGUAAAGGUUACAGUCAGAGAGGAUGAGAAAAGAAAAGCGACGGUGGAAGAGAAAGAGUUGUAUAUGUGACUGUCUCCAUGGUGAUGUGCCUCUGCUCUGCGUGAAAAUGGGGGGCCCUUUAUUGGUUGCCAUGCCGACACUGUUGGCUGUCAGUUGGUAAAGUCUGGUGCCAGGUCAAAGGUCAUUGAGGUGUCUUUGUAUUCUCCUUGUAUGCGGGAAGUUCAAGUUGCUGGAUGAGGACCGCGACGUCCGGGAUCCGGUCCAGUAUUUCUCCAGUGUGGAGGAAGUUGCAGGAGUCUUCCCUGACCGGGUCUUUGUCAUGGAGACAAUCACUUUCAGCGUCAAGGUGGUUUCGGGGGAGUUCAGUGAGGACAGCGAGUCCUACAGCUUCACUCUGCAGGCUGGAGAUGAGCUGUCGCUGAUGGGGAAGGCAGAGCUUCUGUGCGCCACACCUCCGAAGGAAAAGACGGGACUGAGCGCGCUCCUGAGACGCCUGGGAAAAACUCCACGAAGUAAGACGCCAUGUCUGGUCUGUAUGAACCAUCGCACCAACCAGAGUGUCAGCCUGCCCUUCGGCUGCCGCGGACGCUUCUGCACACGUUCCCCCCUGGAGCAAGGCAUGCUGGGAGGGGAGCACACAGUCCGCAGCAUCAUCGAGAGAGUCCGCCUCCCUGUGAACGUCGCGGUGCCUUCACGCCCACCUCGGAACCCCUACGACCGCCACGGCGUGCGCGAGGGCCACCGCUACAAGCUGCUGAACAUCGUCAGCAAGACGGUGGUGCUCUGCUUGGUCCUCCGGCGGCAGGAAGUGUCUCCCUCGCAUUUCCUCCUGCUGCGCUGCAUGCCUCGCUUUAACGUUGCAGAGGCCUCCGUCCACACGGCGGCGCUGGAGAGCCUGCUGCUGAGGCACGCCUUCGACCCGGACGCCUACUCACGGGCGGUUAGAGAGACGCGUCCGGAGCUGGAGUGCAUGACGGAGGAGUGCGUGAGCCCCCGGCGGUCCCGGCUCUGCGUGUCGGGUCAGGACUCGCUGGGGCCGGCGCUCCAGCGGCUCUCCAUGUGCGGCUACGUGGGCGGGCUUUCUGAAAACUCUGUAGGGGCGAGACUGGGCGAAGGACCCGGCGAUGAAAGGGAGUAUGUCACUCCCGAUUGGACUGAGGACGAGUUGAGGACCAAUGAGGAAAUCCCUUAUGAAGAACUCUGGACCAAUCAGAACACAGAGAGUUUGGGAAAAGAACCAAACCUCAUUUCCUUCCACACGUCUUCCUCAUUGGAUGGGUCUCUUGGUACCUUGGUGACCAGAGUGUCUACUCCACCACCUAUACCUCCAAAAUCUGAUGCUGUGAGGGAGGAGUGCCGCUACUUGCUCGCCCCUCCGGUGCCGCCUCGCUUCUCGAAAGAAGGCUCCGUGUCCAGUCCGGCCCCCAGCCCGCCAGUUCCGCCUCGCUUCCCUAAAACCUCCACCUCCCCGAGGCCAAACCUCUCCUUCUACUCCUCCGGACUGCAGGACAGCUGCUCCCCCUCUCCGGAAGCCACCCUCUACUGCUAUCCGUGUUCCUGGUCCGACUGUCCUGCUCCUAACCCGGCCAGUCCGGACCCAGCCUCCACCGCCCCUGCAGAAAACACAUCCAGCUCUCAGCCUGCGCAGGCCACCUGGGCGGAGCCCUGGGUGGAGUCCUUCACAUCCCCCACACCCCGACUCCGGCCGCCGCCCCCACAGAGCCGAUUCGCACCGUUUGGCGCGUUGAACCCCUUCAACCGCCAGUCGCCUUGCCCCUCGCCUGAACCCGUGGCGAAUGAUUCCUCCAGAGGCGCUGAAGGCGGCGGCGGGACAUCAUCGAGCGGUGCUGAUGGGUCCCCCUCUCCUCCUGACCCCACCUGGAGGCCGCCCAGUGACCUUUCUGCUCUGUCUCUGGAGGAGGUAUCGGCGUGCCUGCGGUUCAUCGGCCUGCCAGAGGCGGCGGUGGCCGUCUUCCAGAGGGAGAGGAUUGACGGCAGCCUUUUGGUGCAGCUGACUGAAGACAUUCUGUCACAUGACUUCCACCUGAGCCGCCUCCAUGUGACCAAAAUCACACAGUUCAUCCAAGGCUGGAGGCCCAAAAUCUAACCCUACCCCCCCUCGGUAAUGUGCCUGAUGGCGACGCAGCCGUCCUGAAUGUGCCUUCCACUGUGACCCACUGGCGCCUGAGCCCCACUGCUUGAAGCCUAAGGAAACCACGCCCCCCUGUGGCUAAACUGCAGAACUGACUCUUCACUCUAACUGCAGAUUUUAAUUUGAUUUUUCUCUGAAUUUCAGACUGGAAGUAGUUUACUAACAUUGGCUCCAGGUGAGAAUUGAACAAAAAUUCCUGCUUUAGUUUUUAUUUAAAUUUUUGAUAGAACGGCCUUUAGACAGCAUGCAGAGUUCAGUAGCCAUGAACCGGAAAAAAAAGACAUUUUAUCUGAAAGGGUGUGCAUAAAACUGACAUGCUGCAGUCAUAAACAUGAAGGAGGCGUCAUAAAUGUGCAUGACUGGUGUCCUGAAGUGUCACACAAGUAAAUAAUUAUAUUUUUAAUGAAAGUCACAUAAAAAGUAUCACUUUUAUUGUAAAGUUGCAUUAAAAGUGACACUUUCAUUGUGACUUUGCAUUAAAAGACAAUCUUUUAAUGCAGUUUUGUAGAAAACUUUGCAUUAAAGGUGUCACGAUUUGCAACUUUCAAUAAAAAUUGCUUUAAAAUUGCAUCUUAAAAUGCAGUUUUGCAUUAAUAAUGACUCUUUGUGUUAAUGAAUGUCAUUAUUAACCGAAUGACACUUGCUGAUAACCCUUCAAAUACAGUGUUUCCAAAAAACAUUUAAAAUACAGAUUCAAAAAUGUUUUGAAUCUGAAUUCAAAACAUUUUGAAUUCAGAUUCAAAGGACAUAAAUAUUGUCCUUUUACUCAUGUUAAUUCAAAAUUAGUCAGAGAUUUUGUAAAUGUGGGAAGGAAGAAUUUCCUCUAGCAGUCUGUGUCACUGUGAAUUUGAUGGAGCCACUGAUUGAAGAUGAGCCUGUUUUUCAAUGACAUUUCCAAUAUCAUGAAGAAGGCAAAAUUUAUUUUGAAUUUUUUUGUAAUUUCUAGUUAUUAUUAUUAUAAUUAUAGGUACUCAAUGAGUUUUGGUUGAUUAAACCUGAACUUAUGACCAGUAGGACGAGUAAAACUGAACAUAUCCUGCAAACUGGUUUCCCUUGAUCUUCAGUGGGGUAAAACUGGAAUCAAUGGAGGAGCUUUGGAGGUAAAAACAACAACAAGAACUAGUUAAACUAAAUUAACAAAAUAAAAACAAAUACAAUGUGUUGUUAACUCUAUAAGUACAAAAUUGGGGUUAAAGGUUCAGUCAUGAGUGUCUGGGCUUUUCUGUGCUUCACUGCAUUGGCACUGUGGGGAAUCGCAGCAGACCAUAACAUUAUUGAUAAUUUUAGAUGCAUUAAUUUGCUUCAAUGACACAUUAAUUUGUUUUAGUUUCCCCAAACCUGAGAAAUGAAUUUUUAUGAUAUACCUCAAAUUUCUUGUUCUGUUAUGCUUUAUUUACCCAAAUAAAUGUAACUACAAUAAAAUCUCUCUUUGUUAUUAUUUCACAACAUUUAAAACUUAAAUUAGAACAAAUUAAAGUCCCAGUAAAAGUAGACAGAUUUCAGAUACCUGGCCUAUCACCAAUCUUUAAAAAGCCUAACCUGCUAACUUAUCAAAUAGUUUAAAGUUUAAAGACCUAAAUUCAAUUUUGUGAAGAUAUUUUACCAUAAUUAUUGAUUCAGUUCAACAAACAAUUGACCUACUAAUCCAGAUGUAUCAAAAUUGUAGACAUAUAUAUAUAUAUAUAUAUAUGUUUUUCUAUACUUGAUUGUCUGUGAGUGUAUUGUUGCCGCAUUAUGUCAGUUAUAUUUCCCCUUAAAAAUGUUUAUGUUCCCAAAACUCAGUGGUCUAUAGACGAAUAAAAAAGCUGCUUAAUGAUGUUUAUGAAAUCGUUGUGUUACUUUGCAGACUGGAGUAAAUGAGAUAUUGACCCUGUAACUGCACGACUGCCAUCAGACGAACAAUGCAGAAAUAAAUGACUGAUGUGCAAAAUAAAAGGAAGCUAAACGAUUUUUCAUAUUUUUUACUCAACAACAUGCAGUUUGUAAACGAUGAAAACAGUCACUAUGCUGAUGAUGACAAAAUUAAACUAUUAAAUAGUAAAGCUUUUGUUGUCUUAGAGGCAUCACCCACAGGAACUGAAGAAAUGAACUCAACAAGUCCAGAAAAACAAAUAAAAUAGUAUCAU